rnacentral:lncRNA from 1 species
GAUUGAUUGUAGGAAAGGGAGGAUCUGUUGUGCACCUCUAUCACGAUCAUCCCGUAAGAAGUCCCAUGAAAUUUAUCAUUAUCAUGAAAGACAGUAUCUUUUUUCAAUGGGUCUGUAGAAAGAUAAACAAAAAAAUGAAAGAUUCUGAUGCAGGAAAAUACAACUCGAGAAGACCCCAAGAUAGCCCUCAGAGAUACAUUCACACAAAAUCUGAAGAGAAGUUUCAUCUCCUCGACAUCAUCUACAAUUGGGAACUAUCAGCAAUUCCGAUUAGAAGGCAUCUUCACUUAAUUGUAGGAUUGUAAGAAAGGGAGGG